CCGCCCGUCACAUCACGAAAGUGGACUGCACUAGAAGUCGGCGUGCUAACCGCAAGGAGGCAGCCGCCCAAGGUAUGGUUCAUGAUUGGGGUG
rnacentral:rRNA from 1 species